AGAUUUUUUACACACGAAUUUAAAAAGGAGUUGCAAGGCUGUUGAAGAAAGUAGAAGAACAGCUAGACAACUGGAAGAACAAACUUGGAAUGAAUGCCGGUGGUUUUCUUUUUUUCUUCUUUCGGUGUGAGUGUGGUGUGAGGCGCGGCCUUUCAACAAAAAAAAUGGCCGGCAGACUUUUUGCUUUCAACCCUUUUUUUUUUUUCUGGACUGAUACCAGAAAAAAAAAGGAAAUCAACGCGGACAAGAGAAAUAAGAAAGAAAAAGAAAAAGAGGUCGAGUAGCUUUAGGUGGUCGGUCAUAGAAGAGAACAAAACACAAUUGGUGGAAAUGGAAUACGGAAGCGAAUUUCUCCCCCCAUGGAAAAGUGUGGUCAAAACGCAGAAGAUUAGACGCGCUGUGGUGUAAUAUUAGAGGCUACCUCUCAGUAGGUCAUGUCACCUCCAUUGGGAUUAACAGGACAUGCCCAAAUGAAGAUGGAACGCAGCAUUUAUCGGACGACCUCCGUUAUCUCCAUAAAGCCUUGCGUCUUUUGGUUGGAUCCGCGCCAUUUGAGGAACAGCACGAAAAACAUUUCCUACAUGUGUUGUGAAUGCUGCGCGAAAAAGAAAAGCUCUUUUUGCAACGAUUAGAUGAGUAGGCUAUUUCUUUGUGUAUCAUCAUCCACGUUUUCUAUCCUCUGCUGAUUUAUAGAUGGCGGUGAAAAGUAGGUAUAAGGUUACUAGGUUAGAGAGCUUUCUGAUAUUUGUUGGACACGUGUGCGCAAUCAGCGAGCCAUUGAAGAGCAGAGAAGAAUAGGUGAUACUCAACGUUGCCAAAUGAAAAAUCCGAACAACGGGUCACAGCUCCAAUGACUCCCUCCAUGACGAAUGAUCGUUUUCUCUGGAACUGCGGGGAAACCCUCGGGAGUUUGGAUGUCCCGCCCCGAUUUUCGUACCCAAAUUUUUUGUUUUCCCUCGCCACCGCCGCCAAACAGUUUGAAUUUCAAUCGACAGGUGGGGUUGCCGAGCGUGGUUAUUAAUAAGGAAAAAAAAAAAAGGUAAAUAAAAAAAACAGAAUAACUGAAACGCUCCCACCUUUUCCCGGUGCCCCACCACACGACGUGCAUGUGUACCGCUUAUUUUCUUGGCUGACGGUGGGCAGGUGGUCAAAUCCGUUGGGAAAGAAUGAAAAUGUUUCCGCCUGAAAGAGCAAACAGUCAAACCGGGGUCUAUUUUUGUUUCAUUAAAAACAAUAUUUCAGCAGAUAUUUAAAUAACGUACAAAAAAAAUCAAACAAGGUAAAAAAAAAAAAAAAAGAAUUGGAAAAUCAACAGUUUUUCAAUUCAAACUGAAUUUUUCAAAAUCUUUGUUAGAAAUAAUAUUUAUAAUUAUGCUGAGGGAUUAAAUUAUUUGUUAGAUUGAUGGUAAGGUGAUGGGGGGGAGGACUGUGAUGAAAAAUGCACGUUGAAAAUAUAUAUCUACUACAAUUUGUCGAACUACGAAAAUGCAUCUCUUCCAAGUCCUUAAAUCUAUGAUAGUUGAUGAAUGAACCAAUAAUUUUUGUUUUUGUUUUGUUUUUUUUUUUUUUUUUAGAAUGACGGCUGAUCCUCCUGAAGCGUUUCCUCCAAUUCACCCUCGGGCUGUUCUUCUCCUUCAAUAGACGAUUCAAUGUCAGCAGUCCGUCCUCUGAUGAUGUACGGACCUUCCGGAAUAACCGAGUGCUCCAAACUAUUUAAAACAAAUUUUCCAAGACAUGGCACAAAUAGUAAAAAAAAAAGAAAAAGAAAACACACGACACAAUUGGUAACAAAAAACAAAUUCAAAACUAAUUAAUAGGCCAAAAAAAAAAAAUUAAAAUUAAAACUCACGCAGGUUGGCCGGAACGUUUCAUAAUCUCUUCAAUCCGGUUGGGAAUCUCUUUCCAGUUGAUUCUCCUCAAUCCGAUAUCUUGGACGGGGCAAGACGUGACGACCUGCGUGGCUGUGGCCGUCAUUUUUCGUGUCAGCGUCGAAGUAGCAAUCAGCCGCUCGGUAAUUGUCUCGGUGACUGUGAAGAAUUCCGACAUGGUAGACGUGAUCAUCAUCUCAGAUGUUUCCGUCUCGGUCAUUGUCAUGGUGAUCGUUUUAACGGAAGCCUCAGCCGAUGAACUCCAUUGGUUGAUUGAAAGGCUCGAGCUGCUGCUGCUGUUCGGUCUGGAACUACUGGGUCUGCUGGCCCGGCGGAACAGGGUGAAGAAAUUGCUGAAGAAGCUGUUUGACUGGGCAUUGCUCUGCUGCACGACAAUGGCGCAAAUAAUCACAACGAACAUGGACAACGUGCACUUAUUCAUGAUGAAAUGGGAUGUUGUGGUGGAAGAUGUUCUUUUCACAAUGUUGUCACGACGUCGUCGGCGAUAGAAACAAAAUCUGAAUGGCUUCGGAUUGGACAAAAGAGGAGAAGACAGAGCCACUCUGACCGGCUGAUCAACACCAAAUGGACUUGGUCGAGUAGCCGCACUCGGAUCUUAUCUUUAUAUCUCGUAUACCUUGUGGUGUUACAAAGAGAGAAAUAGGCGUCACCCUACCUUGUACACACGCACACCCCACCGGUGUCUGUGUGUGUGUGUGUGUGUGUAUACUAGCCGGAUGCUUAUAAGGUGUGUGUAGAGAGUUUCGCUCAUCUUUUACCCACCAAAUUGAAGAAAAAAAAAAGAAAGGCCAUCUGCGAAUAGCGAUCUGGGAUGCGGAACCCAAAAAUGGUGGUGACGGUGGUGGCGGUAAUGGCCGGAGUGGGGGAUGACAAACACAACAUUGAGAGUGCGCUGCCGCAACACUAUACGAAUAGAAAUUAUGAUUCCCGUUAUACACAUCCAGCAGCCUUCCAUCGUCGCGGAGAGGGUGUUCUAUAGAGAGGGAGGACCUCAUUGUUAGAGGCUGCACAGUAUUUUAAUCAUCCCGGAAUAACUCACGAAUUUCUCAGCAUCAUUCAACAACAAAAAAAAGAAAAGAAGAGGCUGUCUUUGCUGCAUGGAUACGUGAUGAUUAAGCCAAUAUGAGAAGGAUGAAUCAUGUCGUGCUUGCUCGGCUUUUCGGAUGGUCGUGGAGAACUGAGGCUUUUGUGUACGAUUUUCCCAGCUUCAGACAGUCGACACAUUUUGGUGUAAUCCUUUUUGGACCUUUUGUGUCGAUGGUGACAGCCACUAAACGACAUGGCGAAUUUACAACUGACCGCAAGUUCUUCUUCUUUUUUUAACCAGUACGGGAGGUUUACUGCCGAAUGUCCCCCGCUCGUUCGCAACACAAAAUGAGAUAAAAACAGCAGCCGGUAUGGACAUCAAAAUUCAUUAGGCCGUUACAUUCCGCGGAAGCUUUGGACCCUUCGUCCCUUUACCCUCGACCGGUGGAUCCAUCGACAACAGGUGGAUGUCUUCAACAUUGCGACGACGUUUAACGGAAGGUGCAAUUUCUGGAAGGGCAGUUUCGGUUGGAGCAGCGGCCGAAACGGUCUCGGCGGGCAUUGUGAUGGUGCUGGACACAGUAACCGUGCUGAUCUCAA